GUCUAUGGCCAUGCCAUCCUGAACAUGCCUAAUUUUGUCUAAUCUUGGAAACUAAGCAGGUUCAGGCCUGGUUAGUACUUGGAUAGGAGACCACUUAGGAAUAUCAGGUGCUAUAGGCA
rnacentral:rRNA from 1 species